GUGGGGAAUAUUGGUCAAUGGGCGUAAGCCUGAACCAGCCAAGUAGCGUGCAGGAUGACUGCCCUAUGGGUUGUAAACUGCUUUUAUGCGGGAAUAAAGUGGCGUACGUGUACGCUUUUGUAUGUACCGCAUGAAUAAGGACCGGCUAAUUCCGUGCCAGCAGCCGCGGUAAUACGGAAGGUCCGGGCGUUAUCCGGAUUUAUUGGGUUUAAAGGGAGCGCAGGCGGAAGAUUAAGCGUGACGUGAAAUGUCCCGGCUCAACCGUGGAACUGCGUCGCGAACUGGUUUUCUUGAGUGAGUGCGACGUCGGCGGAAUUCGUGGUGUAGCGGUGAAAUGCUUAGAUAUCACGAAGAACCCCGAUUGCGAAGGCAGCCGACGAGUCCUUAACUGACGCUAAAGCUCGAAAGUGCGGGUAUCGAACAGG
rnacentral:rRNA from 1 species